CGAAGGGUGCAAGCGUUACUCGGAAUUACUGGGCGUAAAGCGUGCGUAGGUGGUUUGUUAAGUCUGUCGUGAAAUCCCCGGGCUCAACCUGGGAAUGGCGAUGGAUACUGGCAAGCUAGAGUGAGGUAGAGGAGAGUGGAAUUCCCCGGUGUAGCAGUGAAAUAGCGUAGAGAUCGGGAGGAACAUCAGUUGCGAAGGCGGCUCUCUGGACCAUCACUGACACUGAGGCACGAAAGACGUGGGAGGCAAACAGGAUU
rnacentral:rRNA from 1 species